rnacentral:rRNA from 1 species
AUGUGUGCGGCUGUUGUGCGUCCCUGUUCAUGUGUGUGGCGCUUUACAUGCAAAGGAAGUGAAUGGUUGCAAGCAGAGGAAGCUGUUGGCCAUUGGCAAAGGAGGAUUAGGAUAGUUCUCUUGAUCUUGGUCAGAAAAAUUGAUAGUUCCCUUGAUUUGUUUUGUUCUGAAUUAGUACAAAAGUGCACUGAUAUUUGUUUUGUGCUGCGGGAGCUUCAAGACACCAGGUACCAAUUGCAACUUUCAUUUAUCUGUUGUGUGAACCAAUUUGUGAUGGCUUCUAAACGCACUUGGCUGGAACAGAGCAAUUUUCUGUAG